rnacentral:rRNA from 1 species
CCGCUAAGCCUAAAUAUUCCCUGGUGACCGAUAGCGGAUAGUACCGUGAGGGAAUGGUGAAAAGUACCGCGGGAGCGGAGUGAAAUAGUACCUGAAACCGUGUGCCUACAAGCCGUGGGAGCGUCGCGCAUCGGACUUGUCCGGUGCGUCGUGACUGCGUGCCUUUUGAAGAAUGAGCCUGCGAGUUUGCGGUGUGUUGCGAGGUUAACCCGUGUGGGGAAGCCGUAGCGAAAGCGAGUCCGAA